AUUGAACGCUGGCGGCAGGCUUAACACAUGCAAGUCGAGCGGGGUGAUGGUGCUUGCACUAUCACUUAGCGGCGGACGGGUGAGUAAUGCUUAGGAAUCUGCCUAUUAGUGGGGGACAACAUCUCGAAAGGGAUGCUAAUACCGCAUACGUCCUACGGGAGAAAGCAGGGGAUCACUUGUGACCUUGCGCUAAUAGAUGAGCCUAAGUCGGAUUAGCUAGUUGGUGGGGUAAAGGCCUACCAAGGCGACGAUCUGUAGCGGGUCUGAGAGGAUGAUCCGCCACACUGGGACUGAGACACGGCCCAGACUCCUACGGGAGGCGGCAGUGGGGAAUAUUGGACAAUGGGGGGAACCCUGAUCCAGCCAUGCCGCGUGUGUGAAGAAGGCCUUAUGGUUGUAAAGCACUUUAAGCGAGGAGGAGGCUCUUUUGGUUAAUACCCAAGACGAGUGGACGUUACUCGCAGAAUAAGCACCGGCUAACUCUGUGCCAGCAGCCGCCGCGG
rnacentral:rRNA from 1 species